rnacentral:rRNA from 1 species
GUAGUGGGGGACAACGUUUCGAAAGGAACGCUAAUACCGCAUACGUCCUACGGGAGAAAGCAGGGACCUUCGGGCCUUGCGCUAUCAGAUGAGCCUAGGUCGGAUUAGCUAGUUGGUGAGGUAAUGGCUCACCAAGGCGACGAUCCGUAACUGGUCUGAGAGGAUGAUCAGUCACACUGGAACUGAGACACGGUCCAGACUCCUACGGGAGGCAGCAGUC